rnacentral:rRNA from 1 species
UGGGGAAUAUUGGACAAUGGGGGCAACCCUGAUCCAGCAAUGCCGCGUGAGUGAUGAAGGCCUUAGGGUUGUAAAGCUCUUUCGCACGCGACGAUGAUGACGGUAGCGUGAGAAGAAGCCCCGGCUAACUUCGUGCCAGCAGCCGCGGUAAUACGAAGGGGGCGAGCGUUGUUCGGAAUUACUGGGCGUAAAGGGCGCGUAGGCGGCCCGAUCAGUCAGAUGUGAAAGCCCCGGGCUCAACCUGGGAACUGCAUUUGAUACUGUCGGGCUUGAGUUCCGGAGAGGAUGGUGGAAUUCCCAGUGUAGAGGUGAAAUUCGUAGAUAUUGGGAAGAACACCGGUGGCGAAGGCGGCCAUCUGGACGGACACUGACGCUGAGGCGCGAAAGCGUGGGGAGCAAACAGGAUUNGAUACCCUGGUAGUCCACGCCGUAAAACGAUGAAUGCUAGACGCUGGGGUGCAUGCACUUCGGUGGUCGCCGCUAACGCAUUAAGCAUUCCGCCUGGGGAGUACGGCCGCAAGGUUAAAACUCAAAGGAAUUGACGGGGUCAUAGCUGUUUCCU